rnacentral:tRNA from 1 species
UGCGGGAUCGUCUAAUGGUAGGACUCGUGCCUCUGGAGCACGGUAUCGGGGUUCGAAUCCCUGUCCCGCAG